UAGGCGGAUUCUGAAAAGCCUAAGACAGAGUAGGAA
ncrna:unclassified sequences DTF805b RNA